UACGGGGGGGGCAAGCGUUGUUCGGAAUUACUGGGCGUAAAGGGCGCGUAGGCGGUUCGCGUAAGUCGGAUGUGAAAACUCUGGGCUCAACCCAGAGCCUGCAUCCGAAACUGGCGGGCUAGAGUUCUGGAGGGGGUAGCGGAAUUCCUGGUGUAGCGGUGAAAUGCGUAGAUAUCAGGAGGAACACCGGUGGCGAAGGCGGCUACCUGGACAGAAACUGACGCUGAGGCGCGAAAGCUAGGGGAGCAAACAGG
rnacentral:rRNA from 1 species